rnacentral:rRNA from 1 species
UACCUACGGGAGGCAGCAGUGGGGGAUAUUGCACAAUGGGGGGAACCCUGAUGCAGCGACGCCGCGUGGGUGAAGGAGCGUUUCGGCGCGUAAAGCCCUAUCGGCAGGGAAGAAGUCAAUGACGGUACCUGAAGAAUAAGCUCCGGCUAACUACGUGCCAGCAGCCGCGGUAAUACGUAGGGAGCAAGCGUUGUUCGGAAUGACUGGGCGUAAAGGGUGCGGAGGCGAUUGUACAAGUUAGAAGUGAAAUACCCAGGGCUUAACUCGGGUGCUGCUUCUAAAACUGUAUG